GAUCAUGGCUCAGGAUGAACGCUAGCUACAGGCUUAACACAUGCAAGUCGAGGGGCAGCAUGGUCUUAGCUUGCUAAGGCCGAUGGCGACCGGCGCACUGGUGAGUAACACGCAUCCAACCUGUCGUCUACUCUUGGACAGCCUUCUGAAAGGAAGAUUAAUACAAGAUGGCAUCAUGAGUCCGCAUGUUCACAUGAUUAAAGGUAUUCCGGUAGACG
rnacentral:rRNA from 1 species